rnacentral:rRNA from 1 species
UACACAAAAAUGCACAUAUUGUGAGCUCGAUGAGUAGGGCGGGACACGUGGUAUCCUGUCUGAAUAUGGGGGGACCAUCCUCCAAGGCUAAAUACUCCUGACUGACCGAUAGUGAACCAGUACCGUGAGGGAAAGGCGAAAAGAACCCCGGCGAGGGGAGUGAAAAAGAACCUGAAACCGUGUACGUACAAGCAGUGGGAGCCUCUUAAUGGGGUGACUGCGUACCUUUUGUAUAAUGGGUCAGCGACUUAUAUUCUGUAGCAAGGUUAACCGAAUAGGGGAGCCGAAGGGAAACCGAGUCUUAACUGGGCGUUAAGUUGCAGGGUAUAGACCCGAAACCCGGUGAUCUAGCCAUGGGCAGGUUGAAGGUUGGGUAACACUAACUGGAGGACCGAACCGACUAAUGUUGAAAAAUUAGCGGAUGACUUGUGGCUGGGGGUGAAAGGCCAAUCAAACCGGGAGAUAGCUGGUUCUCCCCGAAAGCUAUUUAGGUAGCGCCUCGUGAAUUCAUCUCCGGGGGUAGAGCACUGUUUCGGCAAGGGGGUCAUCCCGACUUACCAACCCGAUGCAAACUGCGAAUACCGGAGAAUGUUAUCACGGGAGACACACGGCGGGUGCUAACGUCCGUCGUGAAGAGGGAAACAACCCAGACCGCCAGCUAAGGUCCCAAAGUCAUGGUUAAGUGGGAAACGAUGUGGGAAGGCCCAGACAGCCAGGAUGUUGGCUUAGAAGCAGCCAUCAUUUAAAGAAAGCGUAAUAGCUCACUGGUCGAGUCGGCCUGCGCGGAAGAUGUAACGGGGCUAAACCAUGCACCGAAGCUGCGGCAGCGACACUAUGUGUUGUUGGGUAGGGGAGCG